rnacentral:misc_RNA from 1 species
GAUGAAGAACGUAGCGAAUUGCGAUAAGUAUUGUGAAUUGCAUUAUUAGUGAAUCAUCGAAUCUUUGAACGCAUCUUGCGCUCUGGGGCUAUUCCCCAGAGCAUGACUGUUUGAGGGUUGUGUAUAUCAUCAUCCCCCUCCGAGUGGAAACACUAUGGAGUGAUUUUUUGGGUAUGGAUAUUGGCUUGUUGUAGGAAUCUUUGAUUUCUACUAAGCUGAAAAACAUCAGUGGCUGAUUUCCAAUUUCUGGUAGCACAUAGUAAUGGCGUUAUAGUUUAUAUUCGCUGAUACUUUAUGUACAACCAUAAGAUUUUGGAGCUAUAAAGGCCUCUUCGAAGUAACACACACUUUUAACUCUUCAACCUCAAAUCAGUUAGGACUACCCGCUGAACUUAAGCAUAUCAAUAAGCGGAGGA